GGAUCAUUACACAAUAUGAAAGCGGGCUGGCAUCCUUCGGGGUUACAGCCUUGCUGAAUUAUUCACCCGUGUCUUUUGCGUACUUCUUGUUUCCUUGGUGGGUUCGCCCACCAUAGGACAAACCAUAAACCUUUUGUAAUUGCAAUCAGCGUCAGUAAAAAAAAUUAAUAAUUACAACUUUUAACAACGGAUCUCUUGGUUCUGGCAUCGAUGAAGAACGCAGCGAAAUGCGAUAAGUAGUGUGAAUUGCAGAAUUCAGUGAAUCAUCGAAUCUUUGAACGCACAUUGCGCCCUUUGGUAUUCCAAAGGGCAUGCCUGUUCGAGCGUCAUUUGUACCCUCAAGCUUUGCUUGGUGUUGGGCGUCUUGUCUCCAGUUCGCUGGAGACUCGCCUUAAAGUAAUUGGCAGCCGGCCUACUGGUUUCGGAGCGCAGCACAAGUCGCGCUCUCUUCCAGCCAAGGUCAGCAUCCACAAAGCCUUUUUUCAACUUUUGACCUCGGAUCAGGUAGGGAUACCCGCUGAACUUAAGCAUAU
rnacentral:rRNA from 1 species